rnacentral:rRNA from 1 species
UAGAGUUGAUCCUGGCUCAGGACGAACGCUGGCGGUGCGCCUUAUGCAUGCAAGUCGAGCGAAGCUUUUCAGUAGUUUACUACAGAAAAUGACUGAGCGGCGAACGGGUGAGUAACGCGUGAGCAAUCUACCUUAGUUACAGGGAUAGCCCGAGGAAACUCGGAUUAAUACCUGAUAUUCUUUAUUUCUCGCAUGAGAAUAAAAGGAAAGGUCAGCCGAACUAAGAUGAGCUCGCGUUCUAUCAGCUAGUUGGUGAGGUAAAAGCUUACCAAGGCUACGACGGAUAGCUGGUCUGAGAGGACGAUCAGCCACACUGGGACUGAGACACGGCCCAGACUCCUACGGGAGGCUGCAGCAGGGAAUAUUGUGCAAUGAACGAAAGUUUGACACAGCGACACCGCGUGUGGGAUGACGGAUCUAGGUUUGUAAACCACUUUCAGGAGGGAAGAAAAUGACGGUACCUCCACAAGAAGCCCCGGCCAACUACGUGCCAGCAGCCGCGGUAAUACGUAGGGGGCGAGCGUUGUCCGGAUUUAUUGGGCGUAAAG